rnacentral:rRNA from 1 species
GACGAACGCUGGCGGCGUGCUUAACACAUGCCAGUCGAACGGAAAGGCCCUGCUUUUGUGGGGUGCUCGAGUGGCGAACGGGUGAGUAACACGUGAGUAACCUGCCCUUGACUUUGGGAUAACUUCAGGAAACUGGGGCUAAUACCGGAUAGGAGCUCCUGCUGCAUGGUGGGGGUUGGAAAGUUUCGGCGGUUGGGGAUGGACUCGCGGCUUAUCAGCUUGUUGGUGGGGUAGUGGCUUACCAAGGCUUUGACGGGUAGCCGGCCUGAGAGGGUGACCGGCCACAUUGGGACUGAGAUACGGCCCAGACUCCUACGGGAGGCAGCAGUGGGGAAUAUUGCACAAUGGGCGGUAGCCUGAUGCAGCAACGCCGCGUGCGGGAUGACGGCCUUCGGGUUGUAAACCGCUUUCGCCUGUGACGAAGCGUGAGUGACGGUAAUGGGUAAAGAAGCACCGGCUAACUACGUG